rnacentral:misc_RNA from 1 species
GAAUACCCAGAUGCUUGAAUUGAAAAAUAACACCCUCCCUUUCACAAAACAACAACAACCUUAACCUUGAAGAUAACAAAAAGAAACAGAAUUGAAACUCAAACACAUAGCACACUGGCAUGCAUGCACAGCACAGGCAAUAGCACCAUCAAAACAUAUGAUCCUUGCAACCUUGAACAAGAAUAAACCAAUAGCCAGAUAGUGAAAAACAUAGAUCUUUUUUUGGACUUAGGGAGGAAGAGAACACAUAGAAAAGAGAGAAGGGGUAGCAGAGGGGUUAGUUUUGAAAA